GGGUCUCCGGAAAACAAGAGUCCCCUGGGACCUGUGCCAGACUCUGUCUUGCGGGAAACCCCGGCCCCUCUGCAGACCCGGGUAUCUUCACCUUUUCGGGGUUAGACUGUCCAAAGGUAACGUCCUUCCGUCCAAGUCUAUGGAAUCUCUCCCAGAGCGCUAUUAAGCAUGCUUACGCAUAGCACCCAGAGGCUUUCUCUCUGCCCAGAGUGAAUUUCAAACAAUUGCUUCACAUCAGGUCAAAUUUCACAUACUGGGGGGANNNNNNNNNNNNNNNNGCGGCCUCACCUGAUCUGCUUUUAUGCGAGUUCAUAAAGGAGGCGGCGGGAGAUGUGUUAAUAGCUUUCAUGAGGUGCUAUGGCCCAGGAUCUGGAGAUGAUAUGAAUUAUGCUCGAUGUUAAAGCCCUCUUUAUCGUCCUGGGAGGAAAGAAUGAGACAUACUGUAUGUGCCUUUUUUUUUUUUUUUUCUGAAGCAGAGGAACGUUUGAUUUACUACUCAGGAGGGGGUUGCUCUUCACAGCCAACACUUAUUUUGGUUCUAUUUCAUUACUGCUGUGCACUUUGCAGGGCUGGAGUCCACAUGGCUGCAGCGACUGUCUACAAGCAGAUAAGGGUGAAGGAAGUCACACACUUGGUGGGCUCCCCACCGCCACCGUUUCCGUUCUCCUCCUCUGAUGCCUUGGCUGGAAUGGAGAUGCAUUUUCCUGCAACCCUGGUCUCCGGAGGAGCAGUGCUCUCUCUGCUCUCCCUGGUGGAGCUUUCCACGGGCUUGAAGAAGCCGGCACCAUCUUUCUCCAGCACAGAGCUGACCAUGUCAGGACUCCUUCAUGGCUCACCGCUGCCGAGUGGACUCACGCCCAGACUUUUCAGCACCAUCUCCUAUGCCGUUCACACGGUGGCCCUAAAGGCCUCUCCAGCCCCUCUUUGGGGAGGACGGCGCUUGGUGUUGGCCACUUCAUAA
rnacentral:lncRNA from 1 species